rnacentral:misc_RNA from 1 species
GUGAGUCAUCGAAUCUUUGAACGCACAUUGCGCCCUGUGGUAUUCCGCAGGGCAUGCCUGUUCGAGCGUCAUUUCAACCCUCAAGCCCGGCUUGGUGUUGGGCGUGGCCAGCGUGGCCGGCCCUAAAGGCAGUGGCGGCGCCGCUCGGCCCUAAGCGCAGUACAGCUCUCGCUCUAGGGACCCGCGGUAGCCCGCCAGAACCCCCCAUAACUCUCUGGUUGACCUCGGAUCAGGUAGGGAUACCCGCUGAACUUAAGCAUAUCAAUAAGCGGAGGA